rnacentral:tRNA from 1 species
GCCCGGAUGGCGGAAUUGGUAGACGCGCUAGGUUCAGGUCCUAGUCCAUGUAAAUUGGGUGGAAGUUCGAGUCUUCUUUCGGGCACCA